UUCUCCUGGCCUGCUGGUCUGUGCCGGCGAGUGUGCUGAGAGGAGGGCCUCUGGACAUCAAAGGUUCCUUUUGUCCCCUUGCGAGUGGCAGGGCAGCCCGGCCGGGCUGCUGGCGAUGACUCAGGCCUGGCCCUGACGUCACCCACGCCCGGCCACUGGCCUCCCUCUGAAGCCAGGAAACUGGCUGGGGAGUGGCACUCGCAGCUGCAGCAAAUCUCAAAAUAAAGAGGCAACGGCCUUUCUCCUCCUCUCCAUCUCCCUACAGCACACCUUUUAUUUCUUUUCUUCUUUUUUUUAAGCCUCACGAAAGAUUUUACUUGUAGAUCAACUUUCAAAAUGUAGGAAGUCAGAAUGGGUGACAUCAUCAGAAAAAUAUGUGGAGCUGAUCACCACAAGAAGUGAAGAACCCAGGGCACGAAAGCGGUUGUGACUCCUGGGCCCAGGGAGCUGGCAGCGUCUGGGCUUCAGAGGAGCCAGCGACUCCGAGUGGUCUUGAAGUGAGGCUCUGCUGUACUCCUGUUCUUGUGGCUCUGAGAUCUGAAUGUUGUGACCACUAAUUUGGGACAUUUAACCUGGGAUUCACUGAAACCUUUGAGGAAAGAUGGAUGAGUCAUCUCUCUGCCAAAAGAAGAUGAUUCCUGGCAUUCUAUGGGGCUCUUAGUGCAUUGGGACAAGGAGGCUUGGAAAUUACUCCACGGAGGCAUUGACCUUGGGUAGUGCCUCUCAAGCCAGAGUGGAGAGAGUAGAGCCCUCAUCUUUGUCCAAAAGAGCAUUAGUAUAACCCCUUACCCCAACCCCACCCCAUUCUCUCCUUUUUAAAAGGAGAGAAGAAUAUAUACAAGAAA